rnacentral:rRNA from 1 species
GACGAACCGAGCGAACGUUGUUCGGAAUCACUGGGCUUAAAGGGCGCGUAGGCGGGUGCUCAAGUCCGUGGUGAAAUCCUCCGGCUCAACCGGAGAACUGCCUCGGAUACUGUGGCUCUCGAGGGUGGUAGGGGUAUGCGGAACUAUCGGUGGAGCGGUGAAAUGCGUUGAUAUCGAUAGGAACUCCGGUGGCGAAGGCGGCAUACUGGACCACUUCUGACGCUGAGGCGCGAAAGCCAGGGGAGCAAACGGG